rnacentral:rRNA from 1 species
AACGAACGCUGGCGGCAUGCCUAACACAUGCAAGUCGAACGAGACCUUCGGGUCUAGUGGCGCACGGGUGCGUAACGCGUGGGGACCUGCCCUUAGGUUCGGAAUAACUCCCCGAAAGGGGUGCUAAUGCCGGAUAAUGUCUUCGGACCAAAGAUUUAUCGCCUUUGGAUGGGCCCGCGUUGGAUUAGCUAGUUGGUAGGGUAAAAGCCUACCAAGGCGACGAUCCAUAGCUGGUCUGAGAGGAUGAUCAGCCACACUGGGACUGAGACACGGCCCAGACUCCUACGGGAGGCAGCAGUAGGGAAUAUUGGACAAUGGGCGAAAGCCUGAUCCAGCAAUGCCGCGUGAGUGAUGAAGGCCUUAGGGUUGUAAAGCUCUUUUACCCGGGAUGAUAAUGACAGUACCGGGAGAAUAAGCUCCGGCUAACUCCGUG